rnacentral:ncRNA from 1 species
UUAAUAGAGUUUGAUUAUGGCUAGUUUAGGUUUAAAAUAGUAUUAUUUAAGUGUGAUUUAUUUUGUAGGCAAUGGGUUUUUACCUCGGUAAUUUAUUAUUUGUAUAAUAAAUGUUCCAGAAUAAUCGGCUAGACUUUUAAAAUUUAUACUUUCAAUGUUUUUUGGUUAUGAUCAUGUUUUAUACAGCUUAAUUUUUUUGGGGUGCAAUAAAGAAAAAGUUUUUUUAUAUAUUAUAACCAGGUUAAUUUGAGGAAUGAAACGGAUUAGUACCCGUGUAAUCACAAUAAAGUUAAGGCAGAAGUAAAGUUAAGUUUAAACUGAAAAAAUAUUGGCAGGUUUUUAAAUUAUCUUUGGAGGUUGAAAAAUAAUUGAAAACCCUCAUUUUCUACUUUUAUUUUAGGUUCAUGUAUGAUCGUUUAUUUUAUCUUUAGGAGUUAGAAAGAAAGUUUUUUCUAUAAAAAUAGAUAUAUAUUUGAUUCAUAUAGAAGAAUGUUUUGACCUACAAUAACAAAAAUUGUGGAUUUUAUCAAGAGACUGAUAGAGAAAAAUGUAAAAGACAGUAAGAUUUUUUUAAUAUAAAUCUGAAGUUUAUUUAAAAACGGUACAAAUCAUCCAUCAAUUGCUCAAAGAGGAGUAAGUUGUAGUAAAGUAAGUUUAGGGGAACCUGAACUUAGGAG